CCUGGUUGUUAUAGCAAAGGGUUAAAACCGGAUCCCAUCUCGAACUCAUUGGAGAAUUCCUUUAGCGCCGAUGGUACUUAGUCUUAAGGCUUGGGAGAGUAGGACGUAGCCAGGC
rnacentral:rRNA from 2 species